GACGAACGCUGGCGGCGUGCCUAAUACAUGCAAGUAGAACGCUGAAGGAGGAGCUUGCUUCUCUGGAUGAGUUGCGAACGGGUGAGUAACGCGUAGGUAACCUGCCUGGUAGCGUGGGAUAACUAUUGGAAACGAUAGCUAAUACCGCAUAAUAUUGACUAUUGCAUGAUAGUCAGUUGAAAGGUGCAACUGCACCACUACCAGAUGGACCUGCGUUGUAUUAGCUAGUUGGUGGGGUAACGGCCCACCAAGGCGACGAUACAUAGCCGACCUGAGAGGGUGGUCGGCCACACUGGGACUGGGACACGGCCCAGGCUCCUUCCGGAGGCCGCCGGAGGGAAUCUUCGGCAAUGGGCGGAAGUCUGGCCGAACAACGCCGCGGGAGUGGAGAAGGUUUUCGGGUCGUAAAGCUCUGUUGUAAGGGAAGAACGAGUGUGAGAGUGGAAAGCUCACACUGUGACGGUAUCUUACCAGAAAGGGACGGCUAACUACGUG
rnacentral:rRNA from 1 species